CUGCAUGGCUGUCGUCAGCUCGUGUCGUGAGAUGUUGGGUUAAGUCCCGCAACGAGCGCAACCCUUGCCUUUAGUUGCCAGCAGUUCGGCUGGGCACUCUAAAGGGACUGCCGGUGUUAAACCGGAGGAAGUGGGGAUGACGUCAAGUCCUCAUGGCCUUUAUGACCAGGGCUACACACGUACUACAAUGGCCGAUACAAAGGGCAGCGACACUGCGAGGUGAAGCCAAUCCCGUAAAAUCGGUCUCAGUCCGGAUUGGAGUCUGCAACUCGACUCCAUGAAGUUGGAAUCGCUAGUAAUCGUGAAUCAGCAUGCCACGGUGAAUACGUUCCCGGGCCUU
rnacentral:rRNA from 1 species